rnacentral:tRNA from 1 species
GCCGAAAUAGCUCAGUUGGGAGAGCGUUAGACUGAAGAUCUAAAGGUCCUUGGAUCCAUCGCGGGUUUUGGCA